UACGAAGGGUCCAAGCGUUAUCCGGAUUUAUUGGGUUUAAAGGGUGCGUAGGCGGCUUAUUAAGUCAGUGGUGAAAGACUUCAGCUCAACUGAAGAACUGCCAUUGAUACUGAUGAGCUUGAGUACAGUUGAGGUGGGCGGAAUGUGUCAUGUAGCGGUGAAAUGCUUAGAUAUGACACAGAACACCGAUUGCGAAGGCAGCUCGCUAAACUGUAACUGACGCUGAGGCACGAAAGCGUGGGGAGCGAACAGG
rnacentral:rRNA from 1 species